ACAGGCUUAACACAUGCAAGUCGAGGGGUAGCAGGGUAGCAAUACCGCUGACGACCGGCGCACGGGUGAGUAACACGUAUCCAACCUUCCCAUUACUCGGGGAUAGCCUUUCGAAAGAAAGAUUAAUACCCGAUAGUACUUAAUUAUGGCAUCAUGAUUAGGUUAAAGAUUUAUUGGUAAUGGAUGGGGAUGCGUUCCAUUAGAUUGUUGGUGAGGUAACGGCUCACCAAGUCUUCGAUGGAUAGGGGUUCUGAGAGGAAGGUCCCCCACAUUGGUACUGAGACACGGACCAAACUCCUACGGGAGGCAGCAGUGAGGAAUAUUGGUCAAUGGGCGAGAGCCUGAACCAGCCAAGUAGCGUGAAGGAUGACGG
rnacentral:rRNA from 1 species